rnacentral:rRNA from 1 species
UUGGUGGGGUCAUGGCCCACCAAGGCGACGACGGGUAGCCGGCCUGAGAGGGCGACCGGCCACACUGGGACUGAGACACGGCCCAGACUCCUACGGGAGGCAGCAGUGGGGAAUAUUGCGCAAUGGGCGAAGGCCUGACGCAGCGACGCCGCGUGAGGGAUGAAGGCCUUCGGGUUGUAAACCUCUUUCAGCAGGGACGAAGCGAAAGUGACGGUACCUGCAGAAGAAGCACCGGCCAACUACGUGCCAGCAGCCGCGGUAAUACGUAGGGUGCAAGCGUUGUCCGGAAUUAUUGGGCGUAAAGAGCUCGUAGGCGGUUUGUCGCGUCGGCUGUGAAAACUCGGGGCUCAACCCCGAGCCUGCAGUCGAUACGGGCAAACUAGAGUGUGGUAGGGGAGACUGGAAUUCCUGGUGUAGCGGUGAAAUGCGCAGAUAUCAGGAGGAACACCGGUGGCGAAGGCGGGUCUCUGGGCCAUAACUGACGCUGAGGAGCGAAAGCGUGGGGAGCGAACAGGAUUAGAUACCCUGGUAGUCCACGCCGUAAACGUUGGGCGCUAGGUGUCGGGGACCUUCCACGUCUUCGGUGCCGCAGCUAACGCAUUAAGCGCCCCGCCUGGGGAGUACGGC